GGUAUUCAAGAUUUGUAAAGGGUGGUAAAAAAAGAAUUUGACAGCCUAAAGUACACACAUAAGACAUAGAUAUAGUCAUAUAGUCAUAGAUGUACUCAAUAAUAAACAUGGCAAGGGAUGACACUCAAAUAUAUAGAGGGUACAAUCGUAAAGGAAAGCAGAAAAUGAGAUUGCUAAAAAAGCUUACAAGUUACAAGACAAUUUUCCGGUCUUUCAUGCUCUGAAAAUAGGAGAUGAUGUCCCCAUCCUUAGCUUGCAAGAAGAACUCCCUUUGAAUGGAUGUAAUCAAGCAACCAUUGAUCAGUUCUUGUCGAAUUUGAGUUCUUGACUCAAGAUUGAGGUAGAGGCUAUGAGCAAUUGAACAUUAAGCACUUCGGUGCUCUGUGGCUUGGGGGCUACCAACUGCGGCCCUGGCGCCCUGCGUGGUCCUGCUGCAGUGCCGCCAUCGCCGUGCGCCCGUGCCGUACUGCCGCGCCGCCGCAGGCCGCCCCGCUGGCGCGCUCAUCUCCGCGCGGCUCGCCUCGGCUCGGGGGCCCGCCGGCGCCCGUUGACCGCCUGCCCUCCUUGCGCAAGGCCAAAGCCAGCCCGCCAGUCCACCACCGCGGCCUGCCUGCCUGUCCGGUGCUCGCAGCCGCCUGCCGCCGCAACCACAGCUGCUGCCGGCCGGCCUCUGGUGGACACUGAAACAGGGACCGUUGGACCUAUCUGGUUGUAAUCCAGGUAGAUACUUUGUGAAUUGUGAAG
rnacentral:lncRNA from 1 species